CGAAAUGCGAUAAGUAAUGUGAAUUGCAGAAUUCAGUGAAUCAUCGAAUCUUUGAACGCACAUUGCGCUCCCUGGUAUUCCGGAGAGCAUGCCUGUUUGAGAAUCAGUAAAUUCUUCAACACCUAAAGUGGGUGCUUUAAUUUGCGCCCGCUUGAAAGUGUUGGAUGUGAGCCUUUUUGCGCGUCAGUGCAAAUGGUUUUGAAUGCAAUGUCAAAGGACCUCGGGCAGAUAUGUCUUAGGCGAAAACGCAUGAAUGAGGUAACUCACAAGUACGUUUAGCAUUUGGCAUCGAAUCCCUUGUGCCUGUGACUCAACCAUUAUUAGGUCGGGUUUGCGCAUGCAAGCUUGCUCUGAACACUUGGUCUCAAAUCAGGUAGGAAAACCCGCUGAACUUAAGC
rnacentral:misc_RNA from 1 species